rfam:Trichinella nativa scaffold84s, whole genome shotgun sequence.
UGCUGCCAGGGAGGAUUGCUUACGAGACUACUAAAGAGCUUCGCUUUGCAAUUGUCUUGGGGAAAGUCCCUGGGCUAAAAGCUUGAAAUAAGCACCCGUAAGAAGGUCAGCUGCACUGGCGUCCAGUUAAUCACUGUGACGAUUGGAGUACUGGAUCAGUGCAGUCAUAGCCGUAACAUAGAGAUGCAAUCUAUGAAACAAAACAGGGCUUAUUCCUCUGACAGC